rnacentral:rRNA from 1 species
GACGAACGCUGGCGGCGUGCUUAACACAUGCAAGUCGAACGAUGAAGCCGGAGCUUGCUCCGGUGGAUUAGUGGCGAACGGGUGAGUAACACGUGAGCAAUCUGCCCUUGACUCUGGGAUAACUGCGGGAAACUGUAGCUAAUACCGGAUACGACACCCUGGGGCAUCCCAGGGUGUGGAAAGAAUUUCGGUCAAGGAUGAGCUCGCGGCCUAUCAGCUAGUUGGUGAGGUAAUGGCUCACCAAGGCGACGACGGGUAGCCGGCCUGAGAGAGUGACCGGCCACACUGGAACUGAGACACGGUCCAGACUCCUACGGGAGGCAGCAGUGGGGAAUAUUGCACAAUGGGCGAAAGCCUGAUGCAGCAACGCCGCGUGAGGGAUGAAGGCCUUCGGGUUGUAAACCUCUUUUAGCAGGGAAGAAGCGAAAGUGACGGUACCUGCAGAAAAAGCACCGGCUAACUACGUGCCAGCCGCCGCGGUAA